rnacentral:piRNA from 1 species
GUAAGAGCCCAUGUGUGCAUACAUGC